UGCAUAGUGGGUGAUCUUCUU
rnacentral:miRNA from 1 species